CACGGGGGGAGCAAGCGUUGUUCGGAUUCAUUGGGCGUAAAGAGCUCGUAGGUGGCUCUGUAAGUCGGAGGUGAAAGCCCACGGCUCAACCGUGGAAACGCCUUCGAAACUGUGGAGCUUGAGGCUGGGAGAGGAAAUCGGAAUUCCUGGUGUAGCGGUGAAAUGCGUAGAUAUCAGGAGGAACACCGGUGGCGAAGGUGGCCUUCUGGACGGAUACUGACGCUGAGGCGCGAAAGCUAGGGGAGCAAACAGG
rnacentral:rRNA from 1 species